rnacentral:rRNA from 1 species
GAGAGAGACAUGCGCGCAUAUCAAUAAGCGGAGGAAAAGAAACUAACAAGGAUUCCCUUAGUAACGGCGAGUGAAGCGGGAAGAGCUCAAAUUUGAAAUCUUCAAGGUUUUACCUUGACGAAUUGUAGUUUAAAGAAGUGUUUUCUGCUGAAGUUUUGGUAAAAGUUCUUUGGAAUAGGACAUCAUAGAGGGUGAGAAUCCCGUAUUUGACCAUUAUUUUCAGCUUUGUGAUACACUUUCAAAGAGUCGGAUUGUUUGGGAAUGCAGUCCAAAAUGGGUGGUAAAUUUCAUCUAAAGCUAAAUAUUGGCGAGAGACCGAUAGCGAACAAGGUACCGUGAGGGAAAGAUGAAAAGAGCUUUGAAAAGAGAGUUAAACAGUACGUGAAAUUGUCAAAAGGGAAGCGUUUGACACCAGUGUUGUUUUCUCGAAAAUCAAUUAAAAAUGGCUCGAUUUUGUAUUGCUUGAGACCUUAAAAGCUCACUGUACAUUUUUCGUGUCUUUUUUAAUGCACUUUUCCGUUUAACAAGUCAACAUCAGUUUCUUUUGUUGUAAAAGGGUCAUUGGAAGGUGGCUUUCUUUUCGGAGAAAGUGUUUAUAGCCUUUGGCCUCUGCAAUCGAAGAGACUGAGGUCUGCAGCGUAGACUCUUCGGGGUUAGAUACAUUUGUGCUAAGUUAUAGCUUUUUAUAGACAACUUGUUGACUAUAAUUAGUCUUGUAGCUUACUCGCUUAUGCUAUUUUACCUACGCUUAGGAUGUUGAGUCGUAGAGCACGCAG